rnacentral:rRNA from 1 species
AAUGCGACCUCAGCUCAGGCGGGGCUACCCGCUGAGUUUAAGCAUAUCAAUAAGCGGAGGAAAAGAAAC